AACGAACGCUGGCGGCAGGCCUAACACAUGCAAGUCGAGCGAGACCUUUGGGUCUAGCGGCGGACGGGUUAGUAACGCGUGGGAACGUGCCCUUCUCUGCGGAAUAGCCACUGGAAACGGUGAGUAAUACCGCAUACGCCCUUCGGGGGAAAGAUUUAUCGGAGAAGGAUCGGCCCGCGUUAGAUUAGAUAGUUGGUGGGUAACGGCCUACCAAGUCUACGAUCUAUAGCUGGUUUUAGAGGAUGAUCAGCAACACUGGGACUGAGACACGGCCCAGACUCCUACGGGAGGCAGCAGUGGGGAAUCUUAGACAAUGGGCGCAAGCCUGAUCUAGCCAUGCCGCGUGUGUGAUGAAGGUCUUAGGAUCGUAAAGCACUUUCGCCAGGGAUGAUAAUGACAGUACCUGGUAAAGAAACCCCGGCUAACUCCGUG
rnacentral:rRNA from 1 species